rnacentral:rRNA from 1 species
UGGGGAAUUUUGGACAAUGGACGCAAGUCUGAUCCAGCCAUGCCGCGUGCGGGAAGAAGGCCUUCGGGUUGUAAACUGCUUUUGUACGGAACGAAAAGGCUCUGGUUAAUACCUGGGGCUCAUGACGGUACCGUAAGAAUAAGCACCGGCUAACUACGUGCCAGCAGCCGCGGUAAUACGUAGGGUGCAAGCGUUAAUCGGAAUUACUGGGCGUAAAGCGUGCGCAGGCGGUUAUGUAAGACAGAUGUGAAAUCCCCGGGCUCAACCUGGGACCUGCAUUUGUGACUGCAUAGCUAGAGUACGGCAGAGGGGGAUGGAAUUCCGCGUGUAGCAGUGAAAUGCGUAGAUAUGCGGAGGAACACCGAUGGCGAAGGCGACCACCUGGACUGAUACUGACACUGAGGUGCGAAAGCGUGGGGAGCAAACA